rnacentral:rRNA from 1 species
GCCAACGACGGGGCGUGUGCCGGGGUGAUACGGUGGGGGGGAGCUUGGUCCGGAAUUAGUGGGCGUAAAGGGCGCGUAGGCGGUCCGUCACGUCGGGAGUGAAAACUCGGGGCUCAACCCCAAGCUUGCUCUCGAUACGGGCGGACUAGAGGUAGGUAGGGGAGAACGGAAUUCCUGGUGUAGCGGUGGAAUGCGCAGAUAUCAGGAGGAACACCGGUGGCGAAGGCGGUUCUCUGGGCCUUACCUGACGCUGAGGAGCGAAAGCGUGGGGAGCGAACAGGAUUAGAUACCCUAGUAGUC